rnacentral:ncRNA from 1 species
GAAUUCCUAGUAAGCGCGAGUCAUCAGCUCGCGUUGACUACGUCCCUGCCCUUUGUACACACCGCCCGUCGCUCCUACCGAUUGAAUGAUCCGGUGAAAUGUCGGAUCGCGGCGACGUGGGCGGUUCGCUGCCCGCGACGUCGCGAGAAGUCCAUUGAACCUUAUCAUUUAGAGGAAGGAGAAGUCGUAACAAGGUUUCCGUAGGUGAACCUGCGGAAGGAUCAUUG